rfam:Plasmodium vinckei petteri strain CR unplaced genomic scaffold supercont1.1, whole genome shotgun sequence.
CAUGAACGAAUGAUGAUUUAUUCCAAAAUUCUUAUUAAAGGAAGGAAUAAAUCUGAACUGUUCAUA